GUUCUUCCAUAUUAUCAAUAAUUUUUUACCUCUUUUCUUAUGAAAGCAUUGUUAUUGUAUAUGGCAUUUGGAUGAUGACUCUGAUAGUGACCUUAACAACCCUUUAAUCCCUUGAACACAGCAAAUUCAACUCCUUUUGAAAUUGUUCUAUUUAUUGUUUUCAGCACAUUUUCAUUAUUAUACACAAAGCACUGCUAAAAUUAACAGGUAUUUAGGAGAUGACCUCUUUUUGUUUAGGCUGGGGGAAAAAAAAACAACUCAUCAUUUUGUCCAACAAGAGGGUUAAUAUUAAAAAAUUUGAGGUCAAAAUGUGAACCCUGUAAGCCCUUUUCGCUGAUGAAAACAGCUCUGAAGAGUGAAUCAGUGCAGCACUACACAGUAAGGGCAAGGUCUGAACCAGAUAUUUGUGUUGUACUGGAGUGAAAGGAGACAAAGAGAUGUGGGGAAGGAGACAAGUAGAAAAGGAAGGCUCUGAGUUCGGACAUUCAAUUUGAGUGUAAAACAUGCAGCAUACAGCCAGGCUGGCAGAAAAGCACAAUUGCGACACACUAGUAGCAUGGAGUCAGUGGGAACACAAUACCAAAUUCUGCUCCUACCAUCAGGCCAAAAAGUCUAUAUUAAAAACUACAUGAGCCCACACACCAUAAUGAACCAUUUUCUGAGAUACCAGCCUUAUGGGUCUUCAGACUUAGCCCCAAAAGCAAACUCCUCCCAUUGACUGUCACAAGGGUUUUCCAUUUAAAAAGCCAAGUAUAUUGCUCCGACGGCAGAGAUCCUUAUCAAUUAAAUUCUUUUACUGCUAUCAGAUCCACAAGGAGAUUAGAGUGAGAGCUCUGGUAAUUAAAAAUGAGCGAGACCAAAUUAGUUAAGCACACUGCCAAUCAUCAAGAAGUAAUGGAGUGAUUCAGACACUCCAAACUUCACUGGCGGAAGGAGGCUCUCAGUCCUUCCACUUUCUUCUAUAGAAAAAAAUGUUGGAAAAGACCAUUAAGAUCACCUAUUCAACCGUCAGUCAAACACCACCACGACCAGUGAACUAUGGAAUCACCCAAAAGGCUCUCAAUACGGUGCUUGCAGAGGACAUGUUAAGCAUGAGGCAGAGAUCCAUGAAGACCAGCGUCAGGAGUAACACAUAUUGCAUUCUAACCUAGCCAAAAUCUUUGUUACACAUUUUCAUUUGCAUCUUUCUAGAAUUUCUUGCAACUGUGACAGGCUCGUGUCAGAAGUAUGAGUCAUCUCUGAACAACCAUGAGCACGGAGGGAAGAAAGAAAAGCAGUGCCCUCUGGGAGAGGUGGCCAAGCAGUGCAAUGUGGCCAUGCCUGGAGGUAACACAAUGUGCUGAAUGUCAAAAAGCAGGCUGGUCCCAACGUGGAGUUUGAAAACAGCAAUGACUGCAGCCUCACAAGACAAGGAGAUCAGAAAAAAAGAGGGGAAGGUUUCCUGCCAGGAUUGAAUUUUAGAAAGGUCAUGUUGUCCCAGCACAUUAUUGCAAGCAAGAUUCUCUCCUGCAUCAUCACUCUCACAUCUGGUUCAUGGCACAGCAGCACCUCCUACAGCACCACAAACACCUGGUGCAUGAGGGUCCUUCCUCCUUUCUACCUGAGUGUAAAGAUGAAGAAGAAAGGAUGGCCAGAGAGGAAGGGAGCAGCAAAGAUCAAUAGAAGAUAUUCGUAAGUGGCAAGCACUUCCAAAUAGAUGAAAACAACUGCAAACAAAACAUCAUGAAAUCAGCAGCAACAGCAGAUGUGUUUAAAAAAA